CCCUCGAUGCCAGGAGCACCCCCUAGUGUCACAACCACUGAUGUCCCCAGACAUCACCCUAUGUAAGCGGGGGGGCCCGGGGGGAUGCGGAAUCACCUUCUCUCAUGUGACUCAUGGCCCUCAGCAAAUUCUUACAACGUGGGGCCAGGCCAGGGAGAGAUUGGCAGAGACAGGGCUCUGAGCCAGUCCCCAAAGGCAGGCAGGCUGCCCCCGCCCCCCGGCUUUGGAGCCCUCUGUCCAGGUUCUGAGAGGCCCUGGGGUCCUCGUCCAGCCUGGGAGUGCAGGGGCAUCCAGGAGACCAGGGCGCAGGCGGGGAGAGAGGCCAGAGAGAGGCAUCCUCCGGGAGUGGCGGCUGCAAGGCCCAUUGCACAGAUAGGAAUACUGAGCUGCAGGGUGCAGUAAGGGACCGCAAGCUGUGCCAGAAAAGAAAAGACCCCCCUUCCUCUACCUUGUGGGCCAAGUCUAAAGAGCCUACAGGGGGCGGGGUGCCCUAGCCCCCCAGGCGCAAGGAGGCUGGGCUUCUCCCCAGCUGCUGUGGAUCCGGAGGCUGCAGGACUCCUGUGAUGCUCCGGGGCUGACUUGGAGAGGCUUCCGGGCGCUCCAAGCGGCAGUGAUUUGCCAGGCAGGUGUGCCGUUCAGAGGCCUCGAAUACUCACCCUGGGGAGCGGCCAUGCUCACCACCCGUCUCCAGAACUUUCUCAUCUUCCCAGACUGGACCUCGGUCCCCAUGCAGCCAGUUGGCCUUUGAGAGCAUGCACAGAAUCUUUACGGCCCCUCCAGGAAACUUGGUGUUCAUUCGGGGGUUUUUUCGUGGUGUACCUCGAAUCCAGACAUAGCUCUGUUCAGCCAGAUGUGGCUCCCGAAUGGUUGAUAAGCUCGCCUUCAGCACCUCGGCAUCUUCACUCGAGUCAAGCAGGUGUUUAGCGGGCACCACUCUGCAGGACUGUAUCCUGAGCCCUGGGGAUUAGGCGGUGAGCGGCCAGGCCUGUUUGCUGGAAACUGCUGGCCGUGACCCAGUCGUCUUCUAGUUUCCCACUGGCCUCCUUUCUGCCCCCUUUGCUGGACUCCAGCAUUGGGGUGCCCGGGAAUGCCCUCUCUGUCCGUGCUCCCUUGGGGGAUGCCAUGCAGCCUUCGAGCUGGGGAAGACCAACCCCUCCACUCCCAGUGCCAAGCCCACCCUCUCUCUGACACUCCUGAUCCAUCUGUCCACUGCCUCUGGACAUCUGAUGGACACAUCUCCAUUGUGAAGAAGAAGAACAGAGUCAUGGCUCACGCCUCACACUUGCUGUCUUCCCAAACCAAUGUGCUGUGGCCCCCAGAAGCCCUUUGGGUCCUUUGCUUCCCAUCCCCCUGACAUCUGACGCAGCAUCAAAUCUUCUCGACUUGACCUUCAAAGUAGAUCCAGUCUUCAUUCUGCUACUGCUGUCUCCGUCUGUGCCCCCCGGAUGCCCACCCCAGAUCCGCAGCAGGCCGCUCACGCCCUGCUGGAUGUUCUCACUCGGCCAUGGGUGUGACAGAGGGAACAUAAAGGUGGGCAGUUAUCUGCUUAAAGUAAUGCUAACAUCUUCCCCUCACACUGUUUGGGGGCACCUUUCCAUUUUUAAUUCUAAUUUUUUGGAAGAAAAAAAUUGGAUUUUAUUCCUAAACAACCACACUUAUAUACUAAUGGGAUGUGCCAUCCACUGGGACAUUGGAACCAGACAGAACAUGGCCACCCUCAUAUCUUCCUUCAGGUCGACUUAUUUUUCUUUUUACUUUUUUAUCGUGAUAAAAUAUAUAUGGCGGAAAAUUGACCAU